GACGAACGCUGGCGGCGUGCUUAACACAUGCAAGUCGAACGGAAAGGCCCUGCUUUUGUGGGGUGCUCGAGUGGCGAACGGGUGAGUAACACGUGAGUAACCUGCCCUUGACUUUGGGAUAACUUCAGGAAACUGGGGCUAAUACCGGAUAGGAGCUCCUGCUGCAUGGUGGGGGUUGGAAAGUUUCGGCGGUAGGGGAUGGACUCGCGGCUUACCAGCUUGCUGGUGGGGUAGUGGCUUACCAAGGCUUUGACGGGUACGCGGCCUGAGAGGGUGACCGGCCACAUGAGGCCUAAGAGACGGACCAGACUCCAACGGGAGGCAGCGGUGGGGAAUAUUGCACAAUGGGCGGAAGCCUGAUGCAGAGACGCCGCGUGCGGGAUGACGGCCUUCGGGUUGUAAACCGCUUUCGCCUGUGACGAAGCGUGAGUGACGGUAAUGGGUGAAGAAGCACCGGCUAACUACGUG
rnacentral:rRNA from 1 species